AUUAGCGUAGCAAAGCCCGGUAUUGCAAAAGAUCUAAACCCUUUAUACAGAGAUUCAAUUUCUCUCGCUAAUC
rnacentral:tRNA from 1 species